GAUGAACGCUGGCGGUAUGCUUAACACAUGCAAGUCGAACGGACUCUUCGGAGUUAGUGGCGGACGGGUGAGUAACGCGUGAGAAUCUGGCUUUGGGUUCGGGACAACCACUGGAAACGGUGGCUAAUACCGGAUGUGCCGAGAGGUAAAAGAGAAAUUGCCUGAAGAUGAGCUCGCGUCUGAUUAGCUAGUUGGUGAGGUAAAGGCUCACCAAGGCAGCGAUCAGUAGCUGGUCUGAGAGGAUGACCAGCCACACUGGGACUGAGACACGGCCCAGACUCCUACGGGAGGCAGCAGUGGGGAAUUAUCCGCCAUGGGCGAAAGCCUGACGGAGCAAUACCGCGUGAGGGAAGAAGGCUCUUGGGUUGUAAACCUCUUUUCUUAGGGAAGAACAAAAUGACGGUACCUAAGGAAUCAGCAUCGGCUAACUCCGUG
rnacentral:rRNA from 1 species